GAUGAACGCUGGCGGCGUGCCUAAUACAUGCAAGUAGAACGCUGAGGGAAGGAGCUUGCUCUUUCCGGAUGAGUUGCGAACGGGUGAGUAACGCGUAGGUAACCUGCCUGGUAGCGGGGGAUAACUAUUGGAAACGAUAGCUAAUACCGCAUAACAGUAGAUGUUGCAUGAUAUCUACUUAAAAGGUGCAAUUGCACCACUACCAGAUGGACCUGCGUUGUAUUAGCUAGUUGGUGAGGUAACGGCUCACCAAGGCGACGAUACAUAGCCGACCUGAGAGGGUGAUCGGCCACACUGGGACUGAGACACGGCCCAGACUCCUACGGGAGGCAGCAGUAGGGAAUCUUCGGCAAUGGACGGAAGUCUGACCGAGCAACGCCGCGUGAGUGAAGAAGGUUUUCGGAUCGUAAAGCUCUGUUGUAAGAGAAGAACGAGUGUGAGAGUGGAAAGUUCACACUGUGACGGUAUCUGACCAGAAAGGGACGGCUAACUACGUG
rnacentral:rRNA from 1 species